rnacentral:snRNA from 1 species
GUGCUCGCUUCAGCAACACAUAAAUUAAAAUUGGAAUGAUACAGAGAAGAUUAGCAUGGCCCCAGGCCAAGAAAAAUUUAUAAUUAAAAAAAAAAUACACACAUAA